rnacentral:lncRNA from 13 species
CAUUGUGGAGAGCAUGAUGGUUAUGAGCAAAAACAAAUCCAAUGAUGAUACUGAACUUUCAAGCCUUAAAAAAAUGCAGUUAAACAAAUAUUCAUACCUGCAGUGGAACUUUCCUGAGAAAUACUUGAGAGAGGAGGACUCAAGAUGGCGCUGUGAGAACAACCCAGGAUUGGCGCUCCCGUUGAAUCCGCAAACGGUGAGUCUGAGCUGCAUUUCCAGACUGAUCUUUGUUGCCCACAGAACGGGAAAACUCCCAAGUAUAAAAAAGACACGGGACGCCAGGCAGUAGGUCUGCCUGGCGAAGCCGGCAGCCGGGGCGGCGGCGGCCGGCCCUACCCAGCAAUCCCCACAGGGCGCACUUGUCCAGGUGCCUUGUUGAACCGGCAACCUGAGACUUGAGAGGGCUGGACUUGAGACUGAACGAGACUUGGACAGAAGCCCAGCCCAGGGGAUUGUAGGGACAGAUCGUUUGGGAUACCCAGUGGGACGAACAAAACCACGAUUUCAAACUAUCCCGAGCAGACGGCCCGAGACGCUCUGUGGGGGAGGGGCGUCCACCACUACCGAGGCAACCCACCCCAACUGAGAUACACGCCCACUGCUGACGCAGCCUGCCGUUGCUGAGGCAACACGCUACAAAGAAGAGACUCCGCAGCAGCACCUGGCGGAGACCACAGCAGAGCCUGCAGGAACAGGGCGAAUCACACAACAGCAGGGCAGAGCCUCGGCAGCCAAACAGUGGCUAGUCUGCCUUCUAGCUGGGCAGGACACCUCAUUGAACAUCCAAAAAUAAAGCCCAAACCCCUCAACA